rnacentral:rRNA from 1 species
AAACGUAGGAGGCGAACGUUAUCCGGAUUUACUGGGCGUAAAGCGCGCGCAGGCGGCUUCGUAAGUCCGACGUGAAAGCUCCCGGCUCAACUGGGAGAGGUCGUCGGAUACUGUGGAGCUUGAGGGUAGGAGUGGGAAGUGGAAUUCCCGGUGUAGCGGUGGAAUGCGUAGAUAUCGGGAGGAACUCCAGUGGCGAAGGCGACUUCCUGGCCUACACCUGACGCUGAGGCGCGAAAGCGUGGGGAGCGAACAGGAUUAGAUACCCUAGUAGUCC